UAAAUUUUUUCUUCUUUUUUAUUGUUUUAGAAAUAUGUUUAUUUUCCUAGUGUUUAUAUUAUAUGUUUAUCUAUAUAUGGAUAUAGAAAGCAUGGAUUCGGCCAAGAAACAGAGACGAAAAAGAAAGUAGAAAACGAGUCACCUUAGGUUAUUAGACUUUGCUUCUCGGUAUUUCUGUUAUUGAUAUUGCUGGAUCUCUUGUUUUGCUAGCGUUCUUACAAUCUAAUAUUGCUUUUCAUUCUCAAAAAAAAAAUGCCGACCCCCCCACCUUUGGUUUUUGAUUCGGCUUUAUAUAUAGCCAUUACAUGUUUUUUUAUUACAUUGUGUUUCUUUGUAGGAAAAAUGGGUGGUGGAGCAGAGGCCACUUGCAGGCAUCGGUGGUGGAGCAGAGGCCUCUUGCAGGCGUCGGUGGUGGAGGGGUGGGGAGCAUGUGCUGACGGCUAGGGUUUCUUGGAGGAGUUUAGGAUAGUGGGCUAAGGUUAGGUAAGGUUUGGGAUGAGUUAUUUGGGUUGGUUUGUAAUUGGGUUUAGUGGGUUUUGGGUAUUGGACCCAAAAUUGGGCUUGUACAGCUGCCCCUCUUUGCUUGUUGUCGUGUAACGAGAACAGAGCAAAGACUUGAGAAAGACCAAUUUUGCCCGGUCUCACUAUGUCUGGACUUGUCUAGCGCUCAUUUUCCCCAGGUAGCUUCAUUCCAAUCUUGUUGCUUCACUCCACUUCACUGCUCUACUGCAGCUUCAAGAAGGUAAGGUUUGUUUUGAUCUGCUCCACUGCAACUUCAAGGAGAGAAAAUCUGUAAUUUUCAGCCUAUUACCCUACUACUUAGGGGGUUAAGGUCUGUAAAUUUGGUUUGUUACCCUACUGCUUAGGGGGUUUAGCUCAUUAUCUUCGAUUUGUUUCCCUACUGCUUAGGGUGAUAAGAUCUGUAAAUUUAGCCUGUUACCCUACUACUUAGGGGUUUAAGGCUCAUCACUUUCGAUCUGUUUCCCUACUGCUUAGGGGGUUAAGAUCUGUAAAUUUAGCCUGUUACCCUACUGCUUAGGGGUUUAAGACUCAUUACCUUCGAUCUGUUUCCCUACUGCUUAAGGGGUUAAGAUCUGUAAAUUUUCAAUCUGCUUCACUGCAACUUCAGGAAGACAAGAUUCGCUGGAUUCGAUCUGUUCCACUGCAACUUCAAGGAGACAAAAUCUGUAAUUUUUAGCCUAUUACCCUACUACUUAUGGGGUUAAGGUCUGUAAAUUUGGCUUGUUACCCUACUGCUUAGGGGGUUAAAGCUCAUUAUCUUCGAUCUGUUUCCCUACUGCUUAGGGUGAUAAGAUCUGUAAAUUUAGCCUAUUACCCUACUGCUUAGGGGUUUAAGGCUCAUCACCUUCGAUCUGUUUCCCUACUGCUUAGGGGGUUAAGAUCUGUAAAUUUUCAGUCUGCUUCACUGCAACUUCAGGAAGGCAAGAUUCGCUAGAUUCGAUUUGUUCCACUGCAACUUCAGGAAGACCAGAUCUGUAAUUUUCAGCCUAUUACCCUACUAUUUAGGGGGUUAAGGUCUGUAAAUUUGGCUUGUUACCCUACUGCUUAGGGGGUUAAAGCUCAUUAUCUUCGAUCUGUUUCCCUACUGCUUAGGGUGAUAAGAUCUGUAAAUUUAGCCUAUUACCCUACUGCUUAGGGGUUUAAGGCUCAUCACCUUCGAUCUGUUUCCCUACUGCUUAGGGGGUUAAGAUCUGUAAAUUUUCAGUCUGCUUCACUGCAACUUCAGGAAGACAAGAUUCGCUGGAUUCGAUCUGUUCCACUGCAACUUCAGGGAGACCAGAUCUGUAAUUUUUAGCCUAUUACCCUACUACUUAGGGGGUUAAGGUCCGUAAAUUUACUGAUUCUAGGGACAUGGCCUGUAGAAUUGGUUCCAUGUAUUUGUGCUUAUGUCAAAGAAUUAGGAUGUUAUGAUCAUAAUGAAUCAAAUGUUCCUAAUUAGAUGCACUUAUGAAUGAUCUAUGAAUGUAUGAGUGCAACAUGUUGUGAGCGUGAAUCCCUGUUUAGGUUGCCAUUGCUCUUAGUUAAUCAAGGUUACUUUACUGAAGUGGUAUCCUGUCUUCUUGUUCAGCUCAAAUUUUGAAUAGAAAACCAGAAGAGGUAAUCCCAAUUUAAACUCUUUCAUCUCAGAUGCUUCCAAUCUUUGAGUUUGGUUAGUUCUAAAUAAUAGUCCUGUUUCAGGUUCCUGUACUAUUUAAAAACUUUCGGAGUAAUGUGCAGAACUCUUUUUGCAAAAAUGGUUUUAGUCCAUUAAUCAUCAUUUCAAUGCAAAAUGCUUGAAAACUGAAAUUUAUCAGAAACAACAUUUGAAGGGAAUAUAUUAAUCACAGUCAACAAACAUUACUGGAAUACAAAAUGAAUAAAAGGGAAUAGGUGCCCCAGAUAUCGCAGCGUGAGUUUCUCUGUACUGACUUCUUGAGGACUCCUUUUUUUGCCUAAUAUGUGUUUAGGGGAUCUAGAGUACUCUUGCAGAUGCCCCAAUAUGUAACAUCUCUCCUCCUUGCUAAUUUGGGUACCAUAAGACCAUCGCAUGCCCCACCCUUGAUCAAAAUUUGAAUCGCCCUUUACAGGUUUUCAAUUCAAAAUCACUUUGGUCUCAAAGAGCUCUUUGCGAGUUUUCACCCUGGCCUCUCCCUUUUUUUUUUUAAGCGAAGUAUUUUUUAACCGAAUCCGAAUUCACGGGAUUGGAUAAGGUCUUGCCAUCCAUUUCAGCCAAUAUCAAUGCUCCGCCAGAAAAGGCUUUCUUCACCACAUAAGGCUCUUCCCAAUUCGGCAUCCAUUUUCCUCUGAAGUCUUUUUGUAUGGGCAGGAUCUUUUUCAGUAUUAGGUCUCCCUUGUGGAACUCUCUGGGGUGAACCUUUUUGUUGUAAGCUCGCAUCAUUCGCUUUUGGUACAUCUGACCAUGGCGAAUAGCUCGUAGCCUCUUUUCUUCAAUCAAAUUCAACUGAUCGUAUCAGGACUGGAUCCAUUCUGCUUCAUCCAGCUUUACUUCUGACAAAACUCUGAGGGAAGGAAUCUCGACCUCGAUAGGUAAAAUUGCCUCCAUUCCAUAGACUAAUGAGAAAGGCGUUGCCCCAGUAGAAGUUUUGAUAGACGUUCGAUAGGCAUAGAGAGCGAAUGGUAGCUUCUCAUGCCAAUCUUUAUAAGUUUCUGUCAUCUUUCCUACAAUCUUCUUGAUGUUCUUAUUGGCUGCUUCGACUGCACCGUUCAUCUUCGGGCGAUACCGUGACGAGUUGUGGUGUCUGAGCUUGAACUGACUGCAGACAUCCGCUAUCGUGUUAUUGUUCAAAUUCAAUGCGUUGUCAGAUAUGAUCCUUUCUGGCAUUCCAUAUCGACAGAUGAUUUCUUUUUUUAGGAACUUGCUAACUGCUGAUUUAGUGACACUGGCAUAUGAAGCGGCCUCCACCCAUUUGGUGAAAUAAUCGAUGACCACAAAGAUGAAACGAUGCCCAUUUGAAGCUUUUGGCGAAAUUGGCCCAAUCACAUCCAUGCCCCACAUCGAGAAAGGCCAUGGCGAGGUCAUGACAUGCAGAGGUGAGGGAGGUACAUUAAUCUUGUCUCCAUAGAUUUGGCACUUAUGACAUCUUUUGGCGUAGUUAAUACAGUCACCUUCCAUAGUGGACCAAUAAUACCCGAACCUCAUAAUUUUCCUGGCCAUUGUAAACCCAUUAGCAUGUGUCCCACAGACGCCCUCAUGGACUUCCUCUAAGAUUUUCUUAGCCUCUAUAGCAUUUACACAUCUCAACAGUACUUGAUCCUUCCUUCUUUUGUACAGGAUCUCCCCAUCUAAAACAUAGUCAUGGGCUAGCCUUCUCAACGUUCUUUUGUCGUUCUCGGUAGCUUGAUCGGGGUACUCGCGAUUCUUCACAUAUUGUAGGAUAUCAUGGUACCAAGGGUGAUCAUCAAUUUCUUCUUCUUUUUCGAGAUUGUAACAAUGAGCCGGGGCCUCGUAAAUGCUCAUUUGGAUUGGUUUCAUAUCCCCUGGUUGGUUCACCUUAAUCAUAGAAGCUAAAGUUGCUAGAGCGUCAGCCAUCUGAUUUUCUUCUCGUGGGAGGUAGUAGAAGACAAUAUCAUCAAACUCUUCAAUUAACUCAAGGAUCAACCACCGAUAAUUGAUCAAUUUGGGGCCUCUUGUCUCCCAUUCACCUUUGAGUUGAUAAAUCACUAGGGCAGAAUCUCCAUAUACCUCUAACACCUUGAUUUUACGUUCUAUGGCCGCACGUAUUCCCAUGAUGCAUACUUCGUAUUCUGCCAUAUUGUUCGUGCAGUCAAAAUCCAAUUUACUAGUGAAUGAAUAAUGAUCUCCGUUCGGGGACACCAGAACUGCUCCGAUUCCGUUACCUACGGCGUUUGAUGCCCCGUCAAAGUUUAGCUUCCAAGGGUGACCUUCUUGAGGGUCUUCUUCAGUGGUUGCUAUGCACAUUAGAUCUUCAUUUGGGAAAUCAAAGUUCAGAGGCUCGUAGUCCUCUAGGGCUCUGCUGGCUAGGAAAUCUGCUAUCGCACUCCCUUUUACGGCCUUCUGGUUCACAUAGACUAUAUCGAACUUAGAAAGUAGAAUUUGCCAUCGGGCCAUUCUCCCAUUCAAGGCAGUCGACUCCAUCAAGUAUUUCAGAGGAUCCAUUUUAGAGAUCAGCCAAGUUUUAUGGUACAACAUGUAUUGUCUCAGUCUUCGGGUUGUCCAGAUCAAAGCACAGCACAACUUUUCGAUGAACGAGUAUCUCGUCUCACACUCAGUAAACUUUUUACUGAGGUAAUAUAUCGCUCUUUCUUUCCUUCCCGAUUCAUCGUGUUGGCCGAGUACGCAUUCCAUAGAAUUUUCAAAUACCGUCAAAUACAGUACCAAUGGCUUAUUUGGAUUAGGUGGUGUCAACACUAUGGCAUUAGACCAAUAUUGCUUAACUUUGUCGAAAGUCUUCUAGCAUUCCUCGUCCCAACCACCAGGGUUGUGUUUCUUAAGGAGACAGAAUAUGGGGUCACAUUUCUCGGUUAGUUGUGAAAUAAAUCGAGCGAUGUAAUUUAGUCUUCCUAGGAAUCCUCGAACUUCCUUCUGAGUACGUGGCGGAAGCAACUCUUGUAUGGCUUUGACUUUAUCUGGGUCAAUCUCAAUCCUUUUUCCACUGACCACGAAUCCUAGCAGUUUUCCUGACCUGGCCCCGAAGAUACAUUUUGCGGGAUUGAGUUUCAACUGGAAUUUUCUCAACCUCCAAAAUAAUUUUCUCAAGACUUGCACAUGCUCUUCUUCAGUCCGGGAUUUGGCGAUCAUGUCGUCGACAUAGACUUCAAUUUCUUUAUGCAUCAUAUCAUGAAAUAGGGUUACCAUGGUUCUCUGAUAUGUUGCUCCCGCAUUUUUCAAUCUGAACGGCAUUACUUUAUAGCAAAAGGUUCCCCACAUGGUCACAAAUGUGGUUUUAUUCAUGUCUGCAGGAUGCAUCUUGAUCUGAUUGUACCCCGAGAAACCAUCCAUGAAGGAGAAGAGUGAGUAACUUGCCGUGUUAUCCACUAAGGUGUUAAUAUGAGGCAACGGGAAAUUAUCCUUCGGGCUGGCUUUGUUUAAGUCUCUGUAGUCUACACACAUCUGUACCUUUCCAUCUUUUUUAGGGACGGGGACGAUGUUGGCUACCCAUUCCGAGUACUUAACUACUUGUAAGAAACCAGCAUCAAAUUGCUUCUUGACCUCCUCUUUUAUUUUCAACAGAACAUCGGGCCGCAUCCUUCGAAGGUUUUGCUGAACUGGCUUGCAUUCUUCUUUGAUGGGGAGCCUGUGUACCACAAUGUCAGUACUUAGCCCAGGCAUAUCCUGAUAUGACCAUGCAAAGACAUCCUUGAACUCUUGGAGUAACUCAAUAAGGUCCCGCUUUGUCUCUGUGGUGAUGCAAGCUCCGAUCUUUACUUCUCUCCUUUCUAGUUCAUCUCCCAAGUUCACGACUUCUACUGACUCUUUGUGAGGUAAAAUCUGGUUCUCAUCUUGUUCUACCAUUCUUAACAAAUCGGGGGAUAAGUUACAAUCUCUGUCAUCUUCAAAGUCCUCGGAUCCCUCUAGACACAUAUCGCGCUCAAAAGGAGACUCCGAAUUAGUAGCAAGGUCGCUCACAUCGUUGAUAUCUGGAGACUCUGUAUUAGUUUUAAAGACUACAGGAAUCUCUUCCGCAGUCCAAUUAUUCAAGACACUUUCUGGCUCAUAAGGGUGAAUGCCCGCCCCAUUCUCUUCUCCAGUUCCUCCUUCGAACGUGGCAUUAAUGCUUAAGCUUUCCAACACUUCUUCAGCAGACUCUUGGCCUGCCGAUCUUCCUUUGACAUAAAUAGUUCCUCCCGACACGAAUGUUCUGGAUAUAUGAGGAAAGAUCAUUGGUUUCCAUUUAACCUCUUCCCCGUUUAAACGCACUCUUCUCCUUUCUUGUUUCUUCUCUUGCUCCUCUUUCUUUUGUCUUGCAUCUGGCCUGAAUCCUAAACCAAAACGGUCCCGUUUGUCCAUGAUCAUAGGUACUUUAACCCUUCCUUGUAGGCUUCUUCCAAGUCCUUUCCCUGGCAAGGCUCCUUUCCCUGGCAAGGCUCCUUUCCCUAGCAAGGCUCCCUUCCCAACCAUCAGUUGUAGUCUCAUUCUUGUGGUUUUGGAAAGUCUGGGUGUUGGGACUUUAUUUCCUUCGACAAAAAAGGUCACAUUUACAAAUUCCAACGAUCGAAAAGAACAUUCUAUGGCUUCAUCAUCUGUCCUCACAUAUGGUACGUUGCUGGUAACAAAUGCAAUGAUGUCUUCCUCCGCAUUUAUAGUCACCAAUCGACCCUCCGUUAUAAGUUUGAGCUUCUGAUGUAAUGAUGACAGCACUGCCACCGCCGAGUGGAUCCAUAGUCUUCCCAAUAGGCAAUUGUAAGAGGGUUUGAUGUCCAUUACUAAGAAAUCUACCUCGUACGUGCUAGGACCGAUUUGAAAGGGUAAUUCAAUCCUCCCCAUUACUUUUCUUUCAGUACCGUCAAACGCCCUUACUACAUUUUGGCAUGUUUUCAUAUGGAAACUAUCCACAGGCAACCUAUUCAGUGUGGAUAGGGGUAAGACGUUUAGUGCUGAUCCAUUAUCGAUCAAUACACCCGGUAAUGUGUAUCCUUUGCAACGCGUGGUAAUGUGCAGGGCCUUUGUGGACCCCAUACCUCCUAGUGGUAUUUCGUUGUCGUUAAAGAAAAUAAAAUUGACGGCGCUGAUAUUGUUGACCAAGCGGUCCAGUUUGUUGACAGAGAUGUCAUGCGCGACGUAUGUCUCGUUCAGUACUUUCAUUAACGCGCUCCGAUGCGUUUCUGAGCUCAAAAGUAAAGCUAGCACCGAAAUGUGAGCCGGUUGCUUAUGUAGCUGUUCAACGACGCUGUACUCACUGUGUUUUAAAAAUUUUAAGAAUUCUCUAGCUUCAUUCUCGGUUACAGACUCAUUGACUGGCGAUUCGAACCUGACUGUCUUUUCUUUCCUUUGCUCAACUGUUGGGAUCUUUUCUUCGGCAAUUUUAGUUCCUGUACCCUCGGGAACAUAAUGUCUCCCACUGCGUGUAAAAAAACCUACAUCUUGGUUUUGUUGUGAAGCACUGGCCGGACUCUUCUUUCCUGGGAUCGUCACAUGGCAGCUAUAAUUCCAUGGUACCCUCUUGCUAUUUUUAUAAGGGAAAGCAACGGGCUUCUGGAUCACGACUUUUGGUGUGACUUGUGUCCCGUCUUCAUUAACUCUUAAGCGUGAUAUGAUAACCAAUGGGUGGUUGAUUUUACAAGCGUUUCGUGUCGACCCUUCCUCUGAAGCACACACGUCUGUUCCUUCUGGGUUCCUAACAUACUCGAAGAAUUCCAGCUCCUUAUUAUCCAUUAACCCUUGUACUAGAGCCCUGAAUUCGCUGCAUUUCUGAAUCUCAUGGUCCUCUUGAUUAUGGAACUCGCAAUAACUUUUUGCUCCUUGGUGUCUGUCCCUUAAAUUCUGUGUUACCAACCCUUUCUCCACCAUUUUCUUCCAUACUUCUUUUAACGGAGUAUUCACUUCUGCAACAUUCAUCUUAAUUUCCUUCCCUGAACUCUCGAUUAUGGCAUUUAUACCCUUAUCCCCAUGAUUAGGUAAUGGAUUUUCUGUACUAGGUGUAUCAUCAAAUUUCACGAUGCCCAUGUUGAUGAGUCUUUCAACCAGCUUCUUGAAAGUGGUACAGUUUUCUAUCGAGUGCCCUGUGGCUCCUGCAUGGUAUUCGCAUUGGGCGUUUGCGUCGUACCAUUUGGGGAAUGGGGGUUGCAUUGGCUUUAGAUAGAAGGGCGACACUACAUGGGCAUCGAAUAAGCUCUGGUACAAUUCCUUGUAGGACAUCGGGAUAGGCGUAAACUGGACUCUUUCCGUGUUAGGCCUUAGGUUGAAGUCUCGUCUUGCGAAGCCCUGAUGGCUGGUAGUCACCACCUUUGGUUGGCUCAUAGUGACUGGCUUAUUAUACAUACUCGUGUUGUUCACAUAAUUCUCUUUCCUUCUCGGGGCUGAUCUCUUAGCACUUUCCCCUGCUUCAAUCCUUCCACAUCUUAUCGCGUUCUCUAUCAUUUCUCCAGACAUUACUAUGUCUGAGAAGCUUUUAGUAGCGCUCCCUAGCAUGUGGUUGAUGAAUAGAGCCUUCAGCAUAUUGAUAAAGAGCAUGGUCGUUUCUUUCUCCAGAAGAGGUGGUUGAACUUGCGUUGCUACCUCUCUCCAUCUUUGGGCGUAUUGCCUGAAACUCUCAUUUUGUUUCUUCUCCAUGUUCUGUAACGUGACUCUGUCAGGAGCCAUGUCUGUCACGUGACUGUACUGCUUCAUGAAAGCCUGUGCUAAAUCCCUCCAUGAACUGAUCUGGUUACGACUCAGUUGGUUGUACCAUCUAGAAGCGGCCCCAACCAGACUUUCCUAGAAACAGUGGAUCAAUAGUUGGUCAUUAUUGACAUAGCCUGCCAUUCGUCUGCAGAACAUAGUGAUGUUAGCUUCGGGACAGCUAGUCCCGUUGUAUUUUUCAAAUUCCGGAGUUUUGAACUUGGGAGGGAGUACCAGGUCUGGAACCAAACUUAAUUCCUUAGCGUCGAUUCCACCACGAUAGUCGGUGUUUUCCAUUUCUUUAAAUUUUUCUUCCAACCAUCUACAUCUUUCUUCAAGUUCUCUCGGGAAUUCUACCCUUGUCUUUUCUGCUUCUAUUACUUCAUCGAGAUUGAGGACCACAGGGUUGGUCGGAUUGUCCCCCGGAUUAGAGCCCGAACCAGUCUGAUAAUUCAUCUGUGUCGAGACACCGGCUUGAAAUGUUUGAGGCCUGAUUGUGACUGAUGGCCUUCUUGGGUACACAUCAGGUUGUGUUUGAACGUCUGUUGGGACAAACCCCGGAGGGUAGACGGGAUCUUCGUUGUCAUCUCCAGCAUUGAUUAUGGGGUAUUUCCCUUUUUCUAAUCCACCAGCCAAUAGACGCGUUAACUGAUCCAUCAUACUCCUUUGGGACUCCAGCAUCUGGUCCCUUACAUCUUGCUGGAUUUUGGCCAGCUGUUCUUGCAUACGUGUUUGUAGUUGAUCCUGCAUCUCUUUUUGCAUUUGUUCCAAUCUCUCUAACCUUUGAUCCAUUGCUUUUGUUUUCCCUCUUGUACCGUAACGAUGUUCCAGGGUAACUGCCAUGAUUUUUAGGGAUGCUUGUGAGUUUUAGUGUAUAUGAUGCAAUGUUGAUGCAUGAAUGCAAUGAAUGCGAUGAAUACAAAAAAGCGUUGAUUCCAAUUCAAUUUCAUUAGAGUAACUUUUCUAGAAAACAAGUUUCUUUACAUAAAAUAGAUUACAUAUAAGGCUUGGCCCUGAUACUUAAGGCCUUGACCUGUCUAAGAAGCCAAGCUAGCUUUUGGCCUCGGUCCGACUCUGACUCGUAUUUUAAACUCAGCACAUCGGCUUGUACUGCUAACAUUUGCAAGUGGUCAGCCACUUCUCGUACUUGAGUCAAAGCUUCGCCCAUGAUGUAGUCCCUGCUCCUGACUUGGUUUUGAGAUUGAUGAAAUUGCUCUUUCCAUCGCUCGUUAUUUACCUCGAGGAGUUCUAUUUGAAGUUCACGGUUUUGCAGCGCUGUUUUGAGUUCUUCUAUAUUCUUUUUUAAUUCUUCGAUUCUGUUCUGACUAGCUUUCAACUCGAUUGCAAAGUUACGCGAGUGAUACUGAUACAAUAACCUCUCUAACUCUGAUACCCGGAUCUUUAACCCUUCUUUCUCAUUCUGACUUUCCACCAAACUUCUUUUCAGAGCACCUUCUCGAGCUUGAGCAUCACGAAAUUUUUCCUCCCACUGGUUGGCUUUGCUUUGUUCUUCUUUAACUUCAUGUCGCCAUUGUUCGGAUGUUUUUCCUAACCCAGCGGUUCUCAUUGAUCUGCGCAGCUUCUUAUAGUCCGUUUUCAAACUGUCUAAGUCCUCUUCGGCCUUAUUUUUCCCUUUUCUGAGUCUUUUAGCUUCUAGUUUCUGGGUAUCGACGUCUAACCCUAACUGCAUCUUUUCUUCUUCCAAAUUCUCGAUCCUUUUUUCUAGCUCCAAACUCUUUCUCUCGAAAUCUUGCCUGAUGAUUUCCAGCUCAGAUGGGAUUACUUUCAAGUACUCUUCUAUCGACUGAGGAUUCCCUUGAUCUGAUGUAGGGAUGUUGUCGUUAAUCCUCUGAUUCCACCAUCGGUCGUACUCAGGAGUAGUCAUGGGAUUGGCAGCAAACUUCUUCAUUUUACGAGUCUGGUUCCAGGCAUUUGAUAUCUCGCGAACUUUCUCUUUGUAAUUAUUCCCUGUGAACGUGAACUCGCACUGGGCUAACCCGUAUGUUGGUGGUGUAAACUGUCUGGAUCUGUAUUGUCGCAAUGCAAGCAGAGGAGCAUAUCCGACGGCUCCCCAUACUCCUAACAAGGGAACCCAAUCAAAAUCUCCGCAUCGAUAUAAUAUUUCAUCAGGGACUAUCCACGGGGCUCUCCAUUCAACAUCUUCUUCUUGCAGAUUUUGGAGAACCGUCAUCCAAUUUUCUUCUGUUACAUCAUCUCGCCUCGGUGUAGCCACUAACUCUUUCAGCAGAGAGUAAUUUUCAGAGAAGAUACGAUACGAGGCCUUUUCCACUUUCCAAAAAUGGCUGUGGAACCAGGAUAGCAAGAGCUGUGCACAUCCAAUAAAUCUCCCUUCACCCGCUCUUCUACAAGCAUUUAAUGAUCUGAAAGUUUCGGCCAAGAUUGCGGGUACAAGUGUGGUUCCUUUACCAAGCCUGUCAAAAAGGUCGACAACAGCCUCGUCUAUAUGCCCCAAAGCCUUGGGGAAGAUGACCAGUCCAUAGAUGCUCAAGGCGAAGACAUCUACCCGUUUCUUCACGUCCGGGUGCGCUAAGAUUAGAUCCCUCAGGUUCCUCCAUGGGAUGUAUUUACAAUCUCCUUUUUGUUUGAUCCGGGUUGUCACCCACUGUUCGCUCAUCACUGUGAUGUUCAUCAGUUUUUUUUGAAAAUGCUGGGACGUUAGCAGGUCUGGUAUAAAUUCUGUCUACCUGAAUCUUUGGGCAAUGAAGCAAGGUCGUGUAUUCUUCUAUAGUAAGUACCAAAUCUACCUUCCCGAAAGUGAAGCAACUGUAAGCAGAAUUCCAAUAUUAGGCAAGGGCUCGAAACAGGUGCUCGUCUACCUUGACAUCGAGCAGAUAAGGUAAAUCACCGUAAUGACAAUAGAAUAGCUGUUUGACCUCGUCGUCCCACUGGCCCCAUAUUUCUUUCAACUCUUGGAGAUUAUUCUGAGUUACGCUGAUCCGAGUAAAAUUCCAUAGUUCUGACGCAUACCCCUUGGUAAGACUGUCACCUUUCUUUUGUUGUGUUAUCUCAGCCCAUAUCUGGACAGCCGCGUUGUCUUCUACUUUAUCAAAAAACCCCUUUUCCAUGAUAAGCUAUCUAUUUAGGAACCGAAUGCGAAUCAACACCUUUUAUGAUGAAAAUGCCAUGAAAAUACAAUAAAAGUAAAACAAAGCAAGUCAGUAAUUUAUACGCAGUUCAAAGCAAACAAAGAAUAAUAAAUAUAGCACUUGCUCAGGUAACCACUAGGGUUUCGGAGUGGCUCUACCUAGGGUGGGUUCUUAAGGCUCGCUGCAUGGGGUUUGAUUCAAGAAUAAGGGUACCUGAACCAGCAGAUUCCUCGAUCUUCACCCAUUAUAGGCUCAUACAGACCGAGUUCAGUUCAGGGGAAUACAUUUCCCUAUGGCUGCACGGAGAUGAAAAUCUCACAAAGACAUAGGUACGGAUGUAUCUCGAAAGCAAUCCACUAUCCUGCACGGAGGUGAAAACCUCACGAAGGAAUAGUUUCGCGCUCCCACUUAAGAGGGUGUGACCACAGCGGUCAUGCAAUGCAAUAUGCAACACCAUUUAGAGAAUCGGACCAACGUAGCAGGUAUUAUAUAGACCACAAAAAUAGCUGAUGAAAUGCAAUGAAAGGAUCGUAUUUCAAAACCAAAUUUUCAAUUUUCGAUAAAAAAACAAGAGUUAAUCAACUUGUGGCUUGACUCUCUUAGUGUCUUACCCCCAGCGGAGUCGCCAAGCUGUCGUAACCAUUUUUAAAAAAAAAACGGGAAUCGACUUGGAUUUUGAAAAUAAAAGAAUGGGAGUCGCCAUGUUGUCGUAACCAUUUUUUUGAAAAAAAACGGGAAUCGACUUGGAUUUUGAAAAUAAAAGAACGGGAGUCGCCACCGAUCCUUUUUGACGAGGUGUGAUCGGGUCACCUCAUAAAAGUGGUUGUUUUUAAUAAAUAGUUUGAUUUAUUUAAACAACAAUUUUGGUCUAUGCAAAUCAAGAAAACAGGUUCGGGAGUCGGUUACGCACGAGGAAGAAUUAGCACCCUCGAUACGCCCAAAAUUGGUACCUAGUUGAUUAAUUAGUGUCUUAGUGACGAAAAUUUAAAAAAACUUGAAAAAAUUUUAAAAUACAAUCCUUCUUUAUAAAAAGUUCAAGUGUUAAAGACCUUCUCGUCUCAAAAUAUAAAAUGUCACACCCAGUAAGUUAGGACACAACAUCUUGAAUUUUCGAGAGCGAGCUUGCCUUUUAUGAAAUCUGUAUAUUUUAUUAAAAGGGUAUUCGAUUAUUUAGAAUAAAUGAGAGAAGUCGAAACCCAGUAAGUUAGGGCACGUUUUCUCGAAUUCUCAAACACCGAAUAUUGCCUUUAUUUCGAAACAAAAUUCUUAUUUCGAGAUGACAAAAUAUCAUACCCGGUAAGUUAGGGCACAACACUUCGCAUCUUCGAGAAUAAGCAUUUUUCAAAACUCGUAUAGUGAUUUGAAAGAGUAUUCCGUUAUUUGGGUUGAAUGAGAAAAAUCGAAACCCAGUAAGUUAGAGCACGAUUAUCUCGAAUUACCUAAUACCGAAAAUCGCUUUUAUGAAAGAAUUAUUUUAAUAUAUUGAGUAAAAAAAUGUGAUUUAUAAUAAAACAUAAAUGCUAUGGUAUUAAUAUGUAUAAUGACAUAAUGAUAGAUGUAAUGGCGUCAAAAAACAAUUAUAAAAGAUGAAACAACAGCGAAGUUUAGAAAUAUGUAAAUGUAAACACAUACGUGAGGAAAAUGAAAUAAUCGAACAUGCAAGUGAAUAAAUAAAUAAACGAAUGUAAAAAAUGGUAAAAUAAAAUGACAAUGGUAAUGAUAAUGAUAAUAAUGAUAAAAAGGUAUAUACAUAUAUGUAUUUAGGUACAUACAUAAUAAUAGAAGUAAUAAGAAAUAUAUAUAAGAAAUAUAUACAUACAUAAUAAUAAUAGUAUAAUAUUAAAGGAUACGUAUGCGUAGUAUAUAAAAAUGUAUACAUAAUAAAAUUAUAUAGUAUAUAUAUACGUUAGUGAUAAUAAUGAUAAUACAAAUAAUGGAUGAUUCAAAGUUUGAAAUAAUUUAUAAAGAUGCAAAUAAAUAGGUGAUGAAAUGAUAAUAAUAAUAAGAGUAAUGAUGUAUAUUAGCAAAACAGGUGCGUCAAUAUAUAUAUAUAUGUGUAUAUACUAAAUUAGUUAGUAUAAAAAUAGUAGCAUAUAAGUGAUUACAAAAGGAAGAAAAUGUAAUAAUAAUAAUGUUAAAAUGCAAAAAGUAAAUAUAAUAUGAUAGUAAAUAAGUAAUUAAAAUAAUACUAUACAAAUAAAGAAAUGUAUAUACGUACACAUGCAAUAAAGUAUAUAUUAAUAGAAUAAUAAUAAGCAUGUAAGUGAUAAUAAUAAUAAUGGUAAUAAUAUUUAAAAUAUAUGUACAUGAAUAAUAAUAAAAGGUAUGUAUAUAUAUAAUAAUAAUAAUAAUGGUGUAGUAAAAAUAAUAAUAAUAUAUUAAUGAAUAUGAUAAUAAUAAUAAUAAUAACAGUUAAUAUAAUAAUAAAUAAUGCUACAAAAUAGAAAAUAGGGUAAAAAUAAUAUAAAAAAUUAGAUUGAAUCUAAAAAAGGAUUAAAUUCGAAACAAAAUGAAGUUUUGGGGCCAAUUUAAAAAUUAAUAAAGGAGAAAGGGACUAAUUUGAAAGCGCGUACGACUACCGAGGGCCAAAAAGGUGAUUUUCUCGAGCCCCUUUAAACAACAUCGCAGAAGUGAGGACCGAAUCGCAAACGCAACAGAUUCUAGGGCCAAUUUAAAAGAAAUUAAAACCUGAUUGCAAAGCAUAUCAAAAGCGGAAGGACCAUGCGCGCAAUUAGCCCCUAGAAGCGAAAACACGCGGAUCCUUCGGGAAGACGGAUCGGGUCGUGGAUCGGUUCGCUAAACGACGUCGUUUUGGGUGCUGAAUGCACGCCCCAAAACGACGUCGUACCUAGGGCCUUUAAAAGUUAAGUUUUUUUUUUGAAACUUCAUUUUCAUUCUUUCUAGCAAAAAAAAGGGCUGAAAGCCUCUCUCCCUCUCUCCUUUCUCUGCAGCGAGCCCAGAAACCGGCGAUGAGCCGAUCAUCCGCCACCGUGUUGUCCGCCAUGCCGGCCGUCGCUCCGGCCACCGUGUAAAUUUUUUCUUCUUUUUUAUUGUUUUAGAAAUAUGUUUAUUUUCCUAGUGUUUAUAUUAUAUGUUUAUCUAUAUAUGGAUAUAGAAAGCAUGGAUUCGGCCAAGAAACAGAGACGAAAAAGAAAGUAGAAAACGAGUCACCUUAGGUUAUUAGACUUUGCUUCUCGGUAUUUCUGUUAUUGAUAUUGCUGGAUCUCUUGUUUUGCUAGCGUUCUUACAAUCUAAUAUUGCUUUUCAUUCUCAAAAAAAAAAAUGCUGACCCCCCCACCUUUGGUUUUUGAUUCGGCUUUAUAGGAAAAAUGGGUGGUGGAGUAGAGGCCACUUGCAGGCAUCGGUGGUGGAGCAGAGGCCACUUGCAGGCGUCGGUGGUGGAGGGGUGGGGAGCAUGUGCUGACGGCUAGGGUUUCUUGGAGGAGUUUAGGAUAGUGGGCUAGGGUUAGGUGAGGUUUGGGCUUAGUUGGGCUGAAUUAUUUGGGUUGGUUUGUAAUUGGGUUUAGUGGGUUUUGGGUAUUGGGCCCAAAAUUGGGCUUGUACAUAGAAUAUAUAAUAAAACUAUUCAAAAAAAUCAUCCUAUUUAAAUUUUUUUUUAAAAAAAACUGCCAUUACUUUUAAAAGCUAGCUUUAAUUUAUUCUAAAAAAACUAUCAUUAAUUGAAAAAUAAAUAUAAUUUUACAUUUUCUUCACCGGUACAACAAAAGUUAGUGAAAGUUUCUAAGUCAUAAUGAGUAUUAUCAAUCUAUUGAUUUAAGAAAAUUUAUUAUCCAUCAUCUAGAAUAAAAUCGAAAUAUUUCCUCAAUCAAAAUUACCAAUCAUAUAUAGUAUUAGAAGU
rnacentral:lncRNA from 1 species